rnacentral:pre_miRNA from 11 species
UUUUAUGUUCUUCCACAGCUUUCUUGAACUGCAUAUGGUUCUUGGAACUCCACUAAAUCAAGAUUUGCGGUUCAGUAAAGCUGUGGGAAGACAGAGAAA